UCUGCCCCUCCCCCACUCUUGCUCUGUCUCUCUCUCUCUCUCAAAAAUAAACACUUAAAAAAAUUCUUAAAUAAUAAUGUUCUCUGAAAAGAGAAGGUAUAAUCACUGUUAACUGCUAGUUAACAAGAUCGGUAGAGCA